rnacentral:rRNA from 1 species
ACGGAGGGUGCUAGCGUUGUUCGGAAUUAUUGGGCGUAAAGAGCGUGUAGGCGGCCUCGUAAGUCAGAUGUGAAAGCCCUUGGCUUAACCAAGGAAGUGCAUUUGAAACUGCUUGGCUUGAGUACGGGAGGGGAAAGCGGAAUUCCCGGUGUAGAGGUGAAAUUCGUAGAUAUCGGGAGGAACACCGGUGGCGAAGGCGGCUUUCUGGACCGAUACUGACGCUGAGACGCGAAAGCGUGGGGAGCAAACAG